CGCAGCGCGGCUCGCUGCCGGCGGCGGGAAUCAUGGCGGCCGCGGCGCCGCAGCCGCAGCCGCCGCUGCGCUACAGCGUGAAGCUGCUGCUGGUCAGCGAGGAGCAGCUGCCGGCGGGGCUGCCCCUCACCAGCCCCGGGCAGAAGGCGCUGCAGCUGGAGGUGCAGCCGGGGGAGCAGGACGCUGACGUGACGGUGACAGACGCUGAUGGAGUCUGUGUGUUUAAAUGCUUGGUUAACAGAGACACUGAAUACUGUCGUUUGGGAAAAGAAUCUAUGUUAAUUACACUAGGAUACAACAGUGCCUUGCUCCAAUUCAAGUCACAAGCUGAAUACAGCACAUUUUCAAAUAUGUUGAAGAGGUGCUGUAACCAAAAAAGGGAAGACUCUGUGUUCAGUCAGCGAACAGAUGAAGCAUCUGCUGCUCAAUAUUUUCAGUUUUAUGGCUGUCUAUCUCAGCAACAGAAUAUGAUGCAGGAUUUUGUGAGGACAGCCACAUAUCACAGCGCUAUCCUACAGAACCACAUAGAUUUUAAAGACAAGGUGGUCCUAGAUGUUGGCUGUGGAUCAGGAAUCCUUUCAUUUUUUGCAGUGCAGGCUGGUGCUAGAAAAGUCUAUGCAGUUGAAGCCAGUUCAGUAGCAAAAUACGCAGAGCUGUUGGUGAGAAGUAACAACCUUUCUGACAAGAUCACAGUUCUGUCAGGAAAAAUUGAGGAGAUCUCCCUAUCUGAGAGUGUUGAUGUGAUAAUUUCUGAACCGAUGGGUUAUAUGCUGUUCAAUGAAAGGAUGUUGGAAAGUUACCUCCAUUCAAAAAAAUGGCUGAAAUCAAAUGGAAUGAUGUUUCCAACAUUUAGUGACAUUCAUUUGGCUCCUUUUUCCGAUGAGCAGCUGUACAUGGAACACUACUCCAGAGCCAAUUUUUGGUACCAAGAGUGCUUUUAUGGGGUCAAUCUGUCCAGUCUUCGCAAUGCAGCUGUGGCUGAGUAUUUCAGACAACCUAUUGUGGACACUUUUGACAUAAGAAUUCUGAUGGCUCGGACAGUGAAGUACACCAUUAACUUUACAGAAGCUGCAGAGGAAGAUUUGCACAGAGUGGAAAUACCUUUUGUUUUCCAAAUGAUGCAGUCUGGACUAAUCCAUGGCCUGGCCUUCUGGUUUGAUGUGGCAUUUGUAGGAUCACUGGUAACUGUUUGGUUGUCAACUGCACCAAUGGAGCCUCUCACUCACUGGUAUCAAGUACGCUGCCUUCUUCAGACUCCCCUCUUUGCUAAAGAGGGGGAAACUCUCUCAGGGAAAGUCUUGUUUGUUGCCAAUAAGAGACAAAGUUAUGAUAUUCAGAUUGUGGCUGUGGUGGACCAGACAGGAUUUAAAUCUGGUAACAUUCUUGAUUUAAAGAAUCCAUUUUUUAGGUAUGCUUAGAAUAUAUUGUAAUACGGCAUCUGAAAAGCAGAAAUGAGAUUCUCACCAAGGUCAGCAGUAAUGAAUGCUGAAGAAAUUGCAUUGAUCAGUGGCACUCAGUUCAAGAGGAUAUAGGGAAACUAAAAAAAGCUCUGGGGACGCAGGAGACAAGAGUGAUGUUUUGAUUUAGCAACACUGAACUUGAACAGAUCUGACUGCACUAUGAAAUACAGCAUU